rnacentral:rRNA from 1 species
GACGUAGGUGGCGAGCGUUGUUCGGAAUCACUGGGCAUAAAGCGCACGUAGGCGGCCAAGUCAGUCAGGUGUGAAAUACCUCGGCUCAACCGAGGAACUGCGCCUGAUACUGCUUGGCUUGAGGUCCGGAGGGGAGAGUGGAAUUCCCGGUGGAGCGGUGAAAUGCGUAGAGAUCGGGAAGAACGCCGGCGGCGAAGGCGACUCUUUGGCCUGUAACUGACGCUGAGGCGCGAAAGCGUGGGGAGCAAACAGG